rnacentral:ncRNA from 1 species
GUAGUUCUAAUAUAUAAAUUAAUUAUUAAAUCUAUAUAUAGAAGUAAAAAGUUAAUUAAACCUUUUAGUAGCUAAUUUCUACUAAAGUUUCCUUUAAAAUAGUAGUAUUAAACUUAGUUUUAUAAAGUAAAGUAAAUAAUUAGAAACUUAAGAAUACUAUAUUAUUUUUAUUUAUUCUUAAAUUUUAAAUAUAUAAGAAGUUCUUAUUAUUUAGUUAAAUAUAGAUAUUUAAAUAUAUUAAUACCAAUAAGCUAUUUUUAAUAAGUAGAACUAGUAAUAUAGGAUAAAUUAAAUAAAAAAUUAAAAUAUUAAAAUAGAUACUUAUUAGAUAUUAUAAAAAGUAUGAUUAUAUCUUAAUAAUAAUUAGUAGCUAUAGAAGUUAGAAUUUACUAAAAACUAUAUAGUAAGUUACCUAUUAAAUAUACUAACUUUAAAAAUAAAUAAUACUUAAAUAUCUCACUUAUACUUCACUUUUAGUAUAAAAAGAAUAUACUAAAGAAUAAGUAGAUAUAGAAGUUAGUAAUAAAGCCUAGAGUAUAACUUUGAAUAGAAUAGCUUCUAAUAUAGAUUUUAAUAGUAGUAGUAAAUACUUCAAUAAGAACUUAAAAGAUUAAAAUAGGGAAAAAUUCUAUAUAAAUAGUAGUUAAACAUAGAUUAAUUAAUUUUAAGCUAUAAAGAAGUUCUAUUUUAAAAGGAUAUUUAUAUUCUAUAUAAUAUAAGAGAAGUUAGUCAAUAUUCUAGUAUUUAGAUAUAAGUUCUAUAUAGUAAUAUAACUAAAUAUAGAGAUAAUAAUAAGAGUUUUAAAUAGAAUUCUCUUUUUUUCUUAAUAGUUUAUUAUUCUAAAAUUAAUUUAUUUAAAACUAGAGUUUAAAAAUUAGAAAGACUUAGUACUUCUAUGAAAUCUAAUAUACCUUUAAUAUCUCUUGAAAAUCUAUAGGAAGGGAUAAUUCUCAUACUAAGUUAUAUUUAUAACUAUAGUAAAUCUCUAAAACAAAUAGCUUCUAGUU